UACGGGGGGGGCAAGCGUUGUUCGGAAUUACUGGGCGUAAAGGGCUCGUAGGCGGCCAACUAAGUCAGACGUGAAAUCCCUCGGCUUAACCGGGGAACUGCAUCUGAUACUGGAUGGCUUGAGAUUGGGAGAGGGAUGCGGAAUUCCAGGUGUAGCGGUGAAAUGCGUAGAUAUCUGGAGGAACACCGGUGGCGAAGGCGGCAUCCUGGACCGACACUGACGCUGAGGCGCGAAAGCUAGGGGAGCAAACGGG
rnacentral:rRNA from 1 species